rnacentral:rRNA from 1 species
GACGAACGCUGGCGGCGUGCUUAACACAUGCAAGUCGAACGAAGUGGCGAACGGGUGAGUAACGCGUAAUCAACCUGCCCUUCAGGGGGGGACAACAGUUGGAAACGACUGCUAAUACCGCAUACUGAAGGAGGGGAUUGCGUCUGAUUAGCUCGUUGGAGGGGUAACGGCCCACCAAGGCGAUGGUCAGUAGCCGGUCUGAGAGGAUGAACCGCCACAUUUGGACUGAGACACGGGCCAGACUCCCACGGGAAGCAGCAGUGGGGAAUCGUCCGCAAUGGACGAAAGUCUGACGGAGCAACGCCGCGUGAGGUAUGACGGCCGUCGGGUUGGAAAGCUCUGUUAAUCGGGACGCGGUACCGGAAUAGAAAGCCACGGCUAACUACGUGCCAGCAGCCGCGGUAAUAC